CAUCAGAUGACUGAAAGUAAGUACUGGUCUCUUAAACCAUAAUAUAGUAAUUAACAUCUACUUCUGAUGA
rnacentral:tRNA from 1 species